ACAGCUAGAAGGUGCCACCCCGAGCCUGAAAGUAGGCCCUCACCAGACACUGAAUCUGCUCCACUUUGGUCUUGGACUUCUCAACCUCCAGAACCGUGAGAAAGAAAUUUCUGUUAUUUAAAAGGUUCCUAGAUGCUGGCAAUGCCAGGAUGGAUGAAUUACUUUCCUUGGCCCGGAGAGCCUCACCGUCUAGAAAGAGAUACAGACGUGCAAAUAAUUGCAAGAGAUUCCUCCAGGCAGCUGAGUGCACCUUCUGCAUACCUUUGAUAUCUAAUAUUCAAGUCAUAUCCCAGCCCUUGCUCCCCACAAGCAGACAGAACCAAGAAUUCUUCAACCUCUUCUGUCCUGAGACCCUGCCUGGGGCUCUCCUGAUUCUCUCAGCCACCAAGCUCACCUCCCAGUCUGUACUUUGGGCUUUUCCUCUCUCUGCAGGUAUGAAGUGGUCUACUCUGUUGCCGCAUCUUGUCUUGGGCUCUAUUAGGGGCUGAACCAUGUCCCCCACAAUCAAUCCUGAGUACCUCUGAAUGUAACCAUAUUUGGAGAUAAGAUCUUUAACGAGGUGAUUAAGUCAAAAUGAGGCCUUUAGGGUGGGGACCUAAUCCAAUAUGACUGGUGUCCUUACAAAAGAAGAGCCACCCGGGAUGCAUGCCUGCAUCACACACAGAAAAGGCCAUGUGGGGACGCAGGGAGAAGGCGGCCGGCUGCAAGCCAAGGAGAGAGGUCUCGGGAGAAACCAACACUGCCAAAAUCUUGAUCUUGGACUUCUAGCCUCCAGAACUGUGAGAAGGGUUUCUGGCUGAUAAAGGUAUAUAGGAGGUUCUGAAAUGUUAUUGAGUGAAUGAAUAAAUUAGCACUAGAAAAAAAGCAUGGACUUUGGAAGAGGACCAGAAUUUAAAACCAGACUAGAAGUGUAGAGUUGGGGGAACUCAACCCAUUUCCCACCACUUCCAUCGACCUCCUGUGGCAUCCUAAUGUUCAGAAGGAGAAGAACAUUCUAGAAGGAGAACAAAAUUCUAUCAGCAAGAAGUAUAAUACUCUUGUGCCAAAGGUGUGCACAAUCAGCCAAGUGACCUGAGAAAUGCAAGUCCUGGCUCUAUUGAGGUCAUCAAGGAGAAAGCAAGCCGCUGGCAAGUCAGGAAUCUGUCUCAAAGUAAACAUGUGGCUUGUGACCUUGAGGAUAUGAAGAUUAGGCUUCAAAAGUUUAAGUAACCCGUCAA
rnacentral:lncRNA from 1 species